GACUUUUCCUAGUCCCUGAGACCCUAACUUGUGAGGUAUUUUAGUAACAUCACAAGUCAGGCUCUUGGGACCUAGGCGGAGGG
ensembl:miRNA MIR125B2 microRNA 125b-2